rnacentral:misc_RNA from 1 species
AAACAUCAUCCCGCCGGGUUUCCGGUGACGAUGGACUUGGGUGUUGCCGUCCGGCUCGCCUCAAAAGCGUUAGUGGUUCCCGUCCGAAUCUGGCGUAAUAAGUUUCGCUGGCCCAGGAUCGAGAUCCGCUCAUAACCCGUCUAUGACAUCUUUUG